CGGUGUGCUGACGUCUUAGCUGAGAAUGCAACAGAUGGACACUGGGUGUUUGCCAAGGCUGUCUUCAAAAGCACGGUGACAGGGACAGUCAAACUGUCCCAGCAGACUUUUCUGGAUGGCAGCUACAGUGACAUCACUCUGGAGGUGGACGUGCGGUCAUCACAGGUGCUAGACGUAACAGAGGUUUCCUGGAUCAUCACUGGUAAAGGCUCUGAGGUGAACGACAACCAGUGUACCAGUGUUGGGGACACGUUUAACCCCUUCAACAUGGAAGCUGGGGUGAGUUUAUUCUCUCAUUUUCACUUACAAUACAUCAUGGCCAUUCUUCAUGAAGUGUCUAGGAUAGAUCAGCAUUCCUACUCUGAGACACUUUAUGAAUAAGGGCCCAGUACCUAGCCAUCAUAGGAGAAUUUCCCCCACUGUGUAGUCCACUGUGUAGUCCACUGUGUAGCGCUGAUCUCUGCUUUAUUUCAACUUUAAAGUUCCACUUGAUCAACAAGUCUUAUGGAAUCCAAUAGAACUGUGUUUGAUAUUCCAUCGAAUCUUUGUCUUUGACAAUGUCACAGUUGUUGGGUUUUGAGUUUGCAAGAAAGGCAUUUCACUGUACUUAUGCAUGUGACAUUAAAACUUGCAACUACACCACAACCACAACCAUAUACUUCACAUCGUUUUCAUAACCAGAAGUGGAAGUGUUUGUUGGAAUUGGUUUCAAUAGAAUUAGAAUGAGUAGAACAGUCAUGGAACCUCUGACCCAGCCCUAUUGACUUGAAUGGGGACGUCCCUUCUAGUAAUUCUAUUUCUAUGGUUGGUUCCGUCCUCUGCUCUGUUCUGUCCUC
rnacentral:lncRNA from 1 species